AGUGGUAUAGCUGGGUCAAAUAGUGGUUCCAAUCCAAGUUUUCUGAGGAAUCUUCAUAUUGCUUUCCAUAGUGGUUGUAUCAAUUUGCAGCCCUGCCAGUAAU
rnacentral:pre_miRNA from 1 species